rnacentral:rRNA from 1 species
CGCGUAGGCGGUCUGAUAAGUUAGGUGUGAAAUUCCCGGGCUUAACCUGGGCGCUGCACUUAAUACUGUCAGGCUUGAAUUCGGGAGAGGAUAGUGGAAUUCCCAGUGUAGAGGUGAAAUUCGUAGAUAUUGGGAAGAACACCAGUGGCGAAGGCGACUAUCUGGACCGACAUUGACGCUGAGGCGCGAAAGCGUGGGGAGCAAACA